rnacentral:rRNA from 1 species
CCUACGGGUGGCAGCAGUGAGGAAUAUUGGUCAAUGGGCGUAAGCCUGAACCAGCCAAGUCGCGUGAGGGAUGAAGGUUCUAUGGAUCGUAAACCUCUUUUAUAAGGGAAUAAAGUGCGGGACGUGUCCCGUUUUGUAUGUACCUUAUGAAUAAGGAUCGGCUAACUCCGUGCCAGCAGCCGCGGUAAUACGGAGGAUCCGAGCGUUAUCCGGAUUUAUUGGGUUUAAAGGGUGCGUAGGCGGCCUUUUAAGUCAGCGGGGAAAGUCUGUGGCUCAACCAUAGAAUUGCCGUUGAAACUGGGAGGCUUGAGUAUGUUUGAGGCAGGCGGAAUGCGUGGUGAAGCGGUGAAAUGCUUAGAUAUAACGCAGAACCCCGAUUGCGAAGGCAGCCUGCCAAGCCAUGACUGACGCUGAGGCACGAAAGCGUGGGGAUCAAACAGGAUUAGAUACCCGGGUAGUC